AGGCGCUGAAGCUGGCACUGUUGUGUGCAAAACAAACACCAUCACAACGACCUACCAUGUAUGAUGUGGCUCAAGUGCUGAGCUCACUUCUACCAGUGGCGUCAUCCCCUUACAAACCCCCAACCUAUCCCUCGCCAGGAUCCAAACAUCGGCGUUACAUCGACACCUACAGCGCUAAGCCAGCCGAGGGCAUCAAUGCCAACAGCACUUCCUCCGGCGGAGACUUGCUGGACCAGUUUGAGAAUGUGAUCAAUUCACGAAAUAUGUGAUAGAUUACUCAAUGUCGAGGCCACUCUCCGCCUGAACAACCUUCCCAAUUCUUAAACAAAAACAAAACUCGAGUCCCAUUGUGUCCACCUGUAAAUUCCCUGUCAGUAAAUUAAAUAGAAUGGUAGAGAUACUGCAAUGAGGGUAGAUCAUGGAGUCCUCAAGCU
rnacentral:lncRNA from 1 species